rnacentral:rRNA from 1 species
CUACGGGAUGCUCCAGUGGGGAAUAUUGCACAAUGGGCGCAAGCCUGAUGCAGCCAUGCCGCGUGUAUGAAGAAGGCCUUCGGGUUGUAAAGUACUUUCAGCGGGGAGGAAGGGAGUAAAGUUAAUACCUUUGCUCAUUGACGUUACCCGCAGAAGAAGCACCGGCUAACUCCGUGCCAGCAGCCGCGGUAAUACGGGAGGGUGCGAGCGUUAAUCGGAAUUACUGGGCGUAAAGCGCACGCAGGCGGUUUGUUAAGUCAGAUGUGAAAUCCCCGGGCUCAACCUGGGAACUGCAUCUGAUACUGGCAAGCUUGAGUCUCGUAGAGGGGGGUAGAAUUCCAGGUGUAGCGGUGAAAUGCGUAGAGAUCUGGAGGAAUACCGGUGGCGAAGGCGGCCCCCUGGACGAAGACUGACGCUCAGGUGCGAAAGCGUGGGGAGCAAACAGGAUUAGAUACCCUGGUAGUC